UACGGAGGGGGCUAGCGUUGUUCGGAAUUACUGGGCGUAAAGCGCACGUAGGCGGAUAUUUAAGUCAGGGGUGAAAGUCCCAGAGCUCAACUCUGGAACUGCCUUUGAUACUGGGUAUCUCGAGUAUGGAAGAGGUGAGUGGAAUUCCGAGUGUAGAGGUGAAAUUCGUAGAUAUUCGGAGGAACACCAGUGGCGAAGGCGGCUCACUGGUCCAUUACUGACGCUGAGGUGCGAAAGCGUGGGGAGCAAACAGG
rnacentral:rRNA from 1 species